AGAAAAACGAAAGAUGCAACAAUUUAACAAAAAAAAUCAAUUAACAAAAAAAAAUCAAACUUCAAUAUUAUAACUAGGUUAUGGACACUGUUGAACUGCAUCAUCGAAACUCCAAAGGUCCAUCGGGCCACCGCCCACAACGCCUUCCACCACCGGAUUCACCGUCGCCGCCACUGAUUGCCCAUCAACAUAAGGUAUCUCAUAAAACUUCAUCAAUGACUCGUAAGGCAUCAACUCCUCAGACAAUUUCAACA